CUCUUGUGGAACAAUGAGAAAUCAGAGAAAGAACAAGAGGUCAUCUGCAGCCAAACCUGGUCAGAGAACAGAAAAAAAUAUUUAAAGAAAAUAAGAAAAGAACUAACCUUCAUUAUAUAGUUGCAAACAGGAUUGCACAGAUUGCCUUUUUAUGACAAAAACAGAGGGAGAAAAAUGGCAGCAACCAAGAUUAUUAUUAUACUUAAAUGGUUUCUCACACUUUAUGAAGAUCUUUAUGUAAAAGUAUUAAGCAGUCCAUUUAACAGAGAAGUAUUUUUGUUUCACAUGUAUCAGAAAAUGUGAGUCUUAAUUAAAAUAGAUCCUGAUGUCAAAUGCUAUUGAUGAGCAGUUAUUAUUCUAUAUGUUAUAUUUUAUAUCAGUGUAAUGGGAUAGGAAGUUUUAAAAGACCUUAUGUGUUUCUGCCAGAUAGUGAUACAGUGAUAAAAUAUCAGCAGUU